rnacentral:tRNA from 1 species
GGCUCUGUAGCUCAACUGUAUAGAGCAUCUGACUACGGAUCAGAAGGUUGUGGGUUAGAAUCCCGCCAGAGUCA